rnacentral:rRNA from 1 species
AGUGAACGCUGGCGGUAGGCCUAACACAUGCAAGUCGAACGGAAACACAGUAAGAGCUUGCUCUUACGGGUGGCGAAUGGCGGACGGGUGAGGAAUACAACGGAAUCUACUUUUUCGUGGGGGCUAACGUAGGGAGACUUACGCUAGUACAUCAUACUACCUACGGGUGAAAGCAGGGGAUCUUUGGACCUUUCGCGUUUGAAUGAGCCCAUGUCGGAUUAGCUAGGUGGCGGGGUAAAGGCCCACCACGGCGACGAUCCGUCGCUGGUGUGAGAGGAUGAUCAGCGACACGGGAACUGAGACACGGUCCAUACGCCUACGGGACGGAGCAGUGGGGAAUAUUGGACAAUGGGCGCAAGUCUUGUCCAGCCAUAGCGCGUGGGAGAAGAAGACCUCGGGGUUGUAAAGCCCUUCUGUGGGGAAAGAAAAGCAGCAGGUUAAUACCCCGCUGUCCUGACGGUACCCAAAGAAUAAGCACCGGCUAACUUCGUG